rnacentral:misc_RNA from 1 species
GAUGAAGAACGUAGCGAAAUGCGAUAAGUAAUGUGAAUUGCAGAAUUCAGUGAAUCAUCGAAUCUUUGAACGCACAUUGCGCCCAUUAGUAUUCUAGUGGGCAUGCCUGUUCGAGCGUCAUUAAGUCCACUUAAGCCCUGCUUAGUGUUGAGAGACUGCUCCAGCGGUGCUACCCUGUAGCUACCCUGCAGCUCCUCAAAGACAGCGGCGGAGUUGUGGUAUCCUCUGAGCUUAGUAACUUGUUCUAGCUUUCGAGUACACCACUUCCCCUGCCGUAAAACCCUUAAUUUUUAAUGGUUGACCUCGGAUCAGGUAGGAAUACCCGCUGAACUUAAGCAUAUCAAUAAGCGGAGGA